AACAUCAAAACAAGGGGGGAAAGGAAAAGGGUAGUUUAGGGCAAUCGGUAUCGUCGCCGAGGGUUUCCCUCUCUUCAGUUCAGCGCCCUAUUUCAUAACGGUAAUUUGGUUUUCAGGCGCGCACCUCGCUUCGCACUUCAUGGCUUAGGCUACAGAGGCCCUUGGGGGUUUUCGAUGAGCCUCGGGCCUUUUAAAGCACUAGUUAAGGUGAUUUUCUGGGAAUAUGAUUUGAAGCUGAGAGUUUCUGAUUUUAUGUAAGGUACCAUGGUAAGACCAAACUUGUGCGAUACAGAUAGUGUACUAUUGCAAUCUGACCCAACCGAAUGGUGGCCUAGCACUAUUUUGCCCACCCUUUCUAUUCAGGAUUUCGUUUUGCUAUUGAUCAAUAUAUUUGACUUUUGAAGAGAGUAAAAAUGAAUUAUCCACGGGGAGAGAAGGUAAAUGUGGAUUCUAGAUUCCUCUUUUGGAGCACAUCCAGAGCGUUAUGCUAUCGGCUUAUUAACAUUUUUUGUCCCUAAAGUAUUAACUUCGUCUCAUUUUCGUCCCCAAUCUAAACAUUGCUGACAUUUGGUCCCCAAUAUAUUAAUUUUGUACCAAUCAAGUCCCCAACUCUAACGCCGUGAGUCCCAUCCGUCAAAACGAGGGGCAUUCCCGUCAUUUUGUCCAUUUGCCAAUUUUUUGUCACAUAAAAAACGUUAAAAAAAAAAGAAAAGAAAGAAAGAAAAGAAAAGAGGUGGAAGAAGAGCAGAUCGAUGGGGUUGUCGAAGCGGUGGAGUAUUGGGACCUUCUAUAGCGGAGCAACAACGAAGAGGAAGCACAAGAGGGUUUUAGGGAAGGAAACAAAAACGGAGAAGGGUUCGGAAAAAGUGAAGGUGAGGGUUGAGGUUGUGCCGGUGACGGCGGCGCACGGGGACGAUUGCGGUGUGGCGGCGGCGGCGGCGGAGGAGAAGGACAGGGACAGGCGGGCGCAAUUGUGCGGAAGAUUAGACUGGUUGCAUUCUUUGCUAUCUGAACGGGUUGAGCAACAAUCUUCAGUUCCUCACCUAUUUUGAAAGGUCAAUUGAGUAUUUGAGUUGAGUUUGGUUUGUGAUUAAGCAUUUGACUAUUACAUUUAUUAUCACUUCCACUAGUACAAUUAGUGGAUUUUUACUAAUUAGAGAUAUGGGCUAAUUAUUUUUGUGCACAUCUGUGGUUGAUAUGCUUUUGAUUUGGGUUUUGGCAAAUGAUUUUGUUUUUGUUUUUGUCCUGGUGCGGGAACAGAGGAAAUUUGGGGAUCUCUCGAGUCUUGAAACUUGUUUUGAUUUUGGCUCGAUUCAAGUGGAAUGAUCUUAAGCUCGAUUCAAAAGCAUGUGGGGUUAUUCUUUUCCAGCCAUGGGCGCUGUCGUGGCUUUUUUUCAACUAAAAAAAAAAAAAAACCAUGGCCGAUUCAAGUGGAAAAUUCUUUUCCAGCCAUGGCCACCACCGUGUUUCUUUUUUUUUUUUUUGAGUGGUUUUGAUGUGUAGUUGCGAGUUUCUCAGCACAACAGUACAAAC